rnacentral:rRNA from 2 species
GACGAACGCUGGCGGCGUGCCUAAUACAUGCAAGUCGAACGAACUCUGGUAUUGAUUGGUGCUUGCAUCAUGAUUUACAUUUGAGUGAGUGGCGAACUGGUGAGUAACACGUGGGAAACCUGCCCAGAAGCGGGGGAUAACACCUGGAAACAGAUGCUAAUACCGCAUAACAACUUGGACCGCAUGGUCCGAGCUUGAAAGAUGGCUUCAGCUAUCACUUUUGGAUGGUCCCGCGGCGUAUUAGCUAGAUGGUGGGGUAACGGCUCACCAUGGCAAUGAUACGUAGCCGACCUGAGAGGGUAAUCGGCCACAUUGGGACUGAGACACGGCCCAAACUCCUACGGGAGGCAGCAGUAGGGAAUCUUCCACAAUGGACGAAAGUCUGAUGGAGCAACGCCGCGUGAGUGAAGAAGGGUUUCGGCUCGUAAAACUCUGUUGUUAAAGAAGAACAUAUCUGAGAGUAACUGUUCAGGUAUUGACGGUAUUUAACCAGAAAGCCACGGCUAACUACGUGCCAGCAGCCGCGGUAAUACGUAGGUGGCAAGCGUUGUCCGGAUUUAUUGGGCGUAAAGCGAGCGCAGGCGGUUUUUUAAGUCUGAUGUGAAAGCCUUCGGCUCAACCGAAGAAGUGCAUCGGAAACUGGGAAACUUGAGUGCAGAAGAGGACAGUGGAACUCCAUGUGUAGCGGUGAAAUGCGUAGAUAUAUGGAAGAACACCAGUGGCGAAGGCGGCUGUCUGGUCUGUAACUGACGCUGAGGCUCGAAAGUAUGGGUAGCAAACAGGAUUAGAUACCCUGGUAGUCCAUACCGUAAACGAUGAAUGCUAAGUGUUGGAGGGUUUCCGCCCUUCAGUGCUGCAGCUAACGCAUUAAGCAUUCCGCCUGGGGAGUACGGCCGCAAGGCUGAAACUCAAAGGAAUUGACGGGGGCCCGCACAAGCGGUGGAGCAUGUGGUUUAAUUCGAAGCUACGCGAAGAACCUUACCAGGUCUUGACAUACUAUGCAAAUCUAAGAGAUUAGACGUUCCCUUCGGGGACAUGGAUACAGGUGGUGCAUGGUUGUCGUCAGCUCGUGUCGUGAGAUGUUGGGUUAAGUCCCGCAACGAGCGCAACCCUUAUUAUCAGUUGCCAGCAUUAAGUUGGGCACUCUGGUGAGACUGCCGGUGACAAACCGGAGGAAGGUGGGGAUGACGUCAAAUCAUCAUGCCCCUUAUGACCUGGGCUACACACGUGCUACAAUGGAUGGUACAACGAGUUGCGAACUCGCGAGAGUAAGCUAAUCUCUUAAAGCCAUUCUCAGUUCGGAUUGUAGGCUGCAACUCGCCUACAUGAAGUCGGAAUCGCUAGUAAUCGCGGAUCAGCAUGCCGCGGUGAAUACGUUCCCGGGCCUUGUACACACCGCCCGUCACACCAUGAGAGUUUGUAACACCCAAAGUCGGUGGGGUAACCUUUUAGGAACCAGCCGCCUAAGGUGGGACAGAUGAUUAGGGUGAAG